ACUGGAGAUCCCUGAAUGUUUGAGGCCUUCUGAAGCUGAUCCUGCAACAAUCAUCUUGCUGUACUCAUCCACUGCCCCCAGCUGUCAGCCUCCGCAAGCAAGGUGCUUCAUUUUGAAGGGACAUCAGAACAUGUCACUGAAGUCAAAUAUCAGCAUAUUUAAAGUCACGUGAUGAAUCCUUGUCCAGAUGUUUCUUCAGAUCUUGUGGAAGGGACAAGUGGAAGAAUGUCCUUGGAGAACAGCUUCAUACAGCACAGUCUCCUCUGUUGCUCACACGUUUUGUCUGAACAUUUAAUCUGUACUAGCACAUAGGCAUUCUGGAGGUCACUUCUGGGCAAGAUGCUCAGGAGGAUCUGAAGCAACAGCCAGAUGAUGUACGAGCAUGUUAGUAUUUCAAGCUGGAUGCCACUUACUCCUGUAACAUCCUAUGAAUAAAGGAAACAAAACAGGGAGACUGAAAGCCAAGAAAUAAGUUAUUUCAACUAUGUGUAAUUGUUGACAAAAACAAGAUGAAAACACGGAUGCUGACAGGCACUCUGGGAGGGGCUGUAGGGGUAUAGUGCUCUGUUUUGGGUAACCAAUUAGCACUGCCCAGGGAAAGGGUUUUUGUGUCGUCGUAGCUGUGAAGACAGCUCCAACCAUUGCUUUCUGAUCAUAACCUUCCACAAUAGUUUAUGAACUUCCACAGCCUCAAUUACUGUCAUCUAAUCUACAUCUUCAGUCAAAAUCAAGAAAGGCAGGGAAACCCUACGGUCAGCACAAAUAAAUUAGUGAAUAAACCAACGACUGGUGUGAAAUUGUAACUGAAAGUUCCACAUAGACCCGAUGGCUUGAUUUUCAUGUGCCUUAGAAAUUUUCUUCAGACUUCCAUUGAUCAUUUUGGUUUUUUUUGUACACCAGUAGCCUUGCAAUAGAGAACAGUAGCAUAAACUGGAGUAAUUCCUACUAUUUGUCCCGCUGUGGCUUUGAGGAAUGCAUAU
ensembl:lncRNA